UGACUCAGUGGUAGAGUGCUUGCCUUGCAAGCAUGAGGCCCUGGGUUCGAUUCCUCAG
rnacentral:tRNA from 1 species